rnacentral:rRNA from 1 species
UACGUAGGGUGCGAGCGUUGUCCGGAAUUAUUGGGCGUAAAGGGCUCGUAGGCGGUCUGUUGCGUCGGGAGUGAAAACUCAGGGCUUAACCCUGAGCCUGCUUCCGAUACGGGCAGACUAGAGGUAUGCAGGGGAGAACGGAAUUCCUGGUGUAGCGGUGAAAUGCGCAGAUAUCGGGAGGAACACCAGUGGCGAAGGCGGUUGCCUGGGGCUUUGCUGACGCUGAUGCGCGAAAGCGUGGGGAGCGAUCCGG